GGGGGCGUAGGCUAAUUGGCAACGCUAUCUGACUCAGAAUCAGACUAUUGAAGGUUCGAAUCCUUCCGCCCCUACCA
rnacentral:tRNA from 1 species